AGACCAAACAUCAUCUAUCUGCAGCUCCUAAUGCGACCUCAGCAGGAUUAGUCUGAACCGCUCUCAGUCAGUCUGAUGAUUUAUGUAAUGUGAUGUGAUGGAAGGAUUCCAGGCCCUGACAAGUAAGAACAUUUAUUAAGUGGUUUAUCAGAGACAGAAUCUAGAUUCAGGGCUGAUCAUGACAUUCAUGCUCCUAAUAAACACUCAGAGGGAAUACUGGAUAAUUCAGAGACCUCUGGACUGAUCUUAUUAACCUAAAUGAGCAAUGUAAGGCUAAUUUAACUUUAUAUUCAGAUAAACAGCACAGCAGUAUUUACUGCUAUUUGUUUAUCUAUUUUACAAAUAGAGAAUUCUUCCUUAAUUCCACAAGUGCAUGGCUGAUAUGAAAAUAGGUGACAUAAAGCAGGGGCUGUCUGGAGACAGCCAAACUGGGGGUGGAGGUCAGCAGACUCAUGGUCCACUGUGAAGCUGCCAUCGCUCACGGCUGCAGCUCGUUAGGUGCCCAAGCUGCAGAUAAUCCUUGGCAAUCAAGGUCUGCUCACCUGGUGAUGAACCUUCAGACACCUGUGGACUACAGCUUCUGGUCAGUGUCUCCGUCUCUCUGCCGGUGCUAUUUCCAACCACCAGCCAGUACACUCACCAUCAUUUGCACUAUUGUUGUCAAAUAAACUUCUUUACCUUUACCA